rnacentral:rRNA from 1 species
UACAGAGGUCUCAAGCGUUGUUCGGAUUCAUUGGGCGUAAAGGGUGCGUAGGUGGCGCUGUAAGUCGGGUGUGAAAUUUCGGAGCUUAACUCCGAAACUGCAUUCGAUACUGCGGUGCUUGAGGACUGGAGAGGAGACUGGAAUUCAUGGUGUAGCAGUGAAAUGCGUAGAGAUCAUGAGGAAGACCAGUGGCGAAGGCGGGUCUCUGGACAGUUCCUGACACUGAGGAACGAAAGCGUGGGGAGCGAACAGG